AUGUAUGCACUGAAUGUACAAUGGUGUUAUGCAAGGCUUGCUCAUCCUAACUGGCACUGUUUCCCCUCUCUUACUCUCUCCUCCCCUCUCUCGCUCUCUCCUCCCCUCUCUCGCUCUCUUUCUCUCAGUAAAAGCAGAGAGAACUACAGAGAAGUAGCUUCCAGCUGUCACCCCUUUCGCACGGAGAUGAUUACACAUGGACAAAUGCAUGUACGCACGGGCCAGUGUUUCCGUUUAGAAAUUUUGGCGCUGGACAACGUGACCGGUAAGAUUUUAAUUUAUCCGACAUACAUAUGCAUUAGAUGCGUAAUGCAUUAUGGUGUCCACCCAAGGUGCUCAAAAUCCAUUUUAGAUUAUUGUAAUGCAUUUUACCAGAAUAGAAAUUAGCCUGAGAGGUUUAAUAAAAUAAAGUUGAAUGAUCUUAUACCAAAGUGACCGGUUUUAUUGAGAAGCAAAACAUUACCGUUUGCGGGGUGAUCCCAGCUAUUAAUCAUUUAUUUUUAUUUUUUACAUUUACCCUAGAAGAACAGCCGCCUGCCUAUACGGUAAAACACAACUUAAAAAUAUUAUACUUGUGUAAUAUAAUUUGCUAAAGAGCUGUCCUCUAGACUAUUUGAAUGAACAUUUUAAUAAAUAACAAAACACAGCUGUUUUCAGACACUAUCUAGGCCUCUAAUUUAAAUUUAGCCUAGGCAUGAACAUUUGAAUUAGACUGUCUAACACCAGGACUGGCGGGUUAUGGCUAGAAGGGAUCCAGCUUUUGUAAAAUGAAUGUCAGAUUUGACUUUGUUGCAUGUUAGGAGAAUUUAUGCAGCAGGUUAUAUUAUACAUGACAUUAUUUUGAUCUUCCCUAGGGCGGCAGCAGAACUGCUAGGACCAGGCCUGACAAACACAAAAAUGAUCCUCUAAUUUCAAUUAAAACUUUAAAAACUCUAAAUUUAUGUGUAGACCAUACCGUGAAAUGCUUACUUACAAGCCCUUAACCAACAGUGCAGAUCAAGAAAGAGUUAAGAAAAUAUAUUUAAAAAAAAUAAUUAAUAAAAAUAACACAAAAACAAUAACGAGGCUAUAAACAGGUGGUACUGGUACCGAGUCGAUGUGUGAGGGGUACAGGUUAGUUGAGGUAGGGGUGAAGUGACUUGUGUUUGAGGAGGACCUUGGCCUGCUCAAAGUGAGCCGCUGCUGUUGGGUAGUUAAAACUGUCCAACUCCUUGGAGCAGCUUGCAAUGCGCAUCAGCUUUGUUACUUUGUCCUCAAGAAAUGGAAGAUGUCUUGAGGCUUGUCUGUUCUGUUUUGGAGAAAGAAUCACCUCUCGGCAGGCACAUUGGAAAUGGAGAUAAUCGACACAAUCUUCCCUGUUUUUCCCAGUCAGAGUACACUUUGCUGAAGUCCCCUAUGAGGACCUUGCGUCUGUUGUGCGAAUAAAAAUAGAAACGCACACACCCGACACUAAUUUCCAAGAAGCUUGAGCAUUUAUUAGCCUACGAAGUAUACAGUGCCUUCGGAAAGUAUUGAGACCCCUUGACUUUAUCCACAUUUUGUUAGGUUACAGCCUUAUUCUAAAAUGUAUUACAUUGUUUGUUUCCCCCCCUCAUCAAUCUACACACAAUACCCCAUAAUGACAAAGAAACAUUUAUACAGUGGGGCAAAAAAGUAUUUAGUCAGCCACCAAUUGUGCAAGUUCUCCCACUUAAAAAGAUCAGAGAUCCGUGUAUAUUAGUGAUGCACCGAUAUGACAUUUUUGGCGGAUACCAAAAUCCAAUAUUUUCCUUGCCCCAGAAAAUGAUACUGAUAUUUAAAAAUGUUACGGCCUUUUAAGCAUUCUAGUACAGUUAAAUAGUUAACACACACAUAUGGACGCAGCGGUCUAAGGCACUGCAUCUCAGUGCAAGAGGCGUCACUACAGUCCCGGAUUCGAAUCCAGACUGUAUCACAUCCGGUCGUGAUUGGGAGUCCCAUAUGGCAGCGCACAAUUGGCCCAGCAUUGUCCGGGCCAUCAUUGUAAAUAAGAAUUUGUUCUUAACUGACUUGCUCAGUUAAAUAAAGGUUACACACACACCAACCAAACGUUAUUUUGUUGGCAUUUACAUAUGUCCCCAUUACCAGUAAAACAUAAUCAAAACCUAUUUCUUUCACUUACUUGCUGUGCUGUUUCCUUCAUUUGUUCAGUCGUUUCAUUCUCAACCAUGUUUUCUAUGGAACGCUGUUUGGGUCUUUGCGUGUCAAAAAAGAUGCACGUCAAAUAAGCUUGUUGACCUAUCAGGACCUGAAUAUGACUAUGAAUUUUAUGUAGUUAUUACACAUUCAUUACACUGUCACUCAUAUUUCAUAUGUCACAAUGAUUCAUCUAUGUAUGCUAUGAUGCUGGUAAAGUUGUCUCACACACCUACAGUGCUGGUCAUAAAAAAAAAAGCUAGCUAGCUCAUAGACGCAAACAAUGUAGUUCUUCCCCAAAAACAUGGCAAAACGACAAUCUGUUUCAGUAGCUAUACUUAGCUUGCUAACUAUAUAGCUAGCUGUCAUCUAAAAUAACCCUAAUUUAUAAAACUGUUCUUAUUUGUUUAAUGGUGGUCGGACCAUUAAGCUAGCCACAAUAAGGAUUAGCCACAAUAGUGGACUUUGCAGGUAGCUUUCAAAAUAAAAGUAUGGCACAAUUCUACUAUUUGUAUUCAUUUGCCUCACUGUCAAUGACAUACUUUUAUUUUGAAGGCAAACCGCAAAUUCCACUAUUGUGCCUAAUCCUUAUUGUGGCUAGCUUCACAACAUAUCCGGUCGAGCAUCACUAGCCAGCUAACUGGCUGCUUAUAACGUUAUCUUUGGCAACCCAAACCUGGUUAAGUAGCUGGCUAGCUAUUUAUUUUCAUUUUAUUUUCAUGAACUGAAGUUUAAUUUCAAUAAGCAAACAACAAGUGGCAAGUGGUUCAUAAAUCAUUGCUAAGAAUAAUGAAAAUGACUGCAGUUUCUACAGGUCAUUGUUUUCAGGCUGGUUGUAGCUGGUUGGUGCUAGCUGGGUACCAAGCUAAAGCUAGCUACCCCAGAAGUUGCGGUCUAACAAAUGAUGCUUUAUUACCAACGCGGUAUUGCAAACACAACGUUUGUGGCUGGUGUUUGCUUGUUUGCAGAAUUUUUUUUGUACAGCUUUGACAGUGCUACUGUAUCUUUUUUGACACGCAAAGACCAAAACGGUGUUCCAUAGUAUGUAUGUCAUGAAGGUAAUAGCAGUGACUCUUACUGUGUAACUCCAGUAGGGCAACAUCUGAAAAAUAGCGCACUUGGUAGUGUACCGGUGCUUGACCAGUUGGUGAAAUAUCGGCUUUAAUGGAUUUUGCCUUUUGAGUUGUCUCGCUGAAAUUUUCUUACUCUUUCAAAUGACUGCUCGACUUGUUGAAUGCUAGGUUAGGAAUGCUGUGUAGCACGAGUAGCGCAAAAUUUUAACAUCGGUGUUAAACUAGACAUGGGGCCGAUACCAAUGUUAGCAUUUUUAGCUACUAUCGGCCGAUUCCGAUAUGUCCACUGAUAUAUUGUGCAUCCCUAGUGUGUAUACUUUCUGAAGGCACUUUAUUUGCCUUUGAAGUUGGAGCACAUUGACUGGUAUUUCCAUUAAUGAAUAAAAUGCAUUAUUUUACAAUGAAGUUCAAUUUUUUUUUAUUGUGGUACAACCAUUUUAUUUAUAGGCCAAAGAAAAGGAAGGGAUUCCAAAAGCCGACGUUUACCGGCUAACGGAAACCCUUGCGUGGGCACACACACGUCCACCCACAUCUGCUGGCUACCAAACACAGUCAAACACAUACCACCUUCUCCACAGGUUCUUAUUUGGUCCAGCAACAAAAAUAUGAACUGAGAGACUUUUUCCCUAAGGUAGCGUUUACUUGUCGACAAACCCACGGACAGCGUUAAUUCAUGGAUCAAUUCAGGCUACAAGUGUAGGCAUAAUGGUGUUUAAACACAUUUAUUUCCAUUAAUCAUUCCCUCUAUCGUGUUCCUCCUAUUUCUCUCUCUGCCCUACAGUGGCUUCAGAAAGCAUUCACACCCAUUGACUUUUGACACAUGUUAAAGCCUGAAUUUAAAAUGGAUAAAAUUGAGGUUUUGUGUCACUGGCCUACACACAAUACCCCACAAUGUCCAAGUGAAAUUAUGUUUCUCAACACAAAAAAACUGUGCUGAAAUGUCUUGAGUCAAGUAUUCAACCCCUUUUGUUUUAGAUAGCCAAUAGUGCCUUCAGAAAGUAUUCAUACCCCUUGACUUGUUACAGCCUGAAUUCAAAAUGGAUUAAAAAACAAAAACAAAUCUACACCCAAUAUCCCAUAAUGCCAAAGUGAAAACAUGUUUUUAGACAUUUUUGCACAUUUAUUGAAAAUGAAAUCUCGCUUACAUAAUUUUCACCCCCCCUUAGUCAAUAGACAUGUUAGAAUUACAUUUGGCAGCGAUUACAGCUGUGACUCUUUCUGGGUAAGUCUCUAAAAGCGCUGCACACCUGGAUUGUACAAUAUUUGCACAUUAUUAUUUUUAAAAUUCUUCAAGCUCUGUCAAGUUGGUUGUUGAUCAUUGCUAGACAGACAUUUUCCAUUUUUGCCGUUAUAUUUUCAAACUGAUUUAAGUCCAAACUGUAACUGGGCCACUCAGGUUAUCUUGGUAAAGCAAUUCCAGUGUAUAUUUGGCCUUGUGUUUAGGUUAUUGUCCUGCUGAAAGGUGAAUUUGUCUCCCAAUGUCUGUUGGAAAGCAGACUGAACCAGGUUUUCCUGUAGGAUUUUGUGCUUAGCUCUAUUCUGUUUCUUUCUAUCCAAAAACAACUUCCUUGCAGAUGACCAGCCUACCCAUAAAAUGAUCCAGUCACCGCCAUGCUUGAAAAUAUGAAGUACUCUGUGAUGUUAUGUAAAAAAAUAUAUAUAUAUUUA
rnacentral:lncRNA from 1 species